GCACUGAUGAGGAGUCACACAAUAAGACGAAACGGCCGUCCAGUGU
rnacentral:hammerhead_ribozyme from 1 species